UACGUGAGGGGCAAACGUUGUUCGGUGUCACUGGGCUUAAAGGGUGCGUAGGUGGUUACGUAAGUAACGUGUGAAAUCCCCCGGCUUACCCGGGGAAUUGCGCGUUAUACUGCGUGACUUGAGGACUGUAGGGGAAUGGGGAACUCCAGGUGUAGCGGUGAAAUGCGCAGAUAUCUGGGGGAAGGCCGGCGGCGAAGGCGCCAUUCUGGGCAGUUCCUGACACUGAGGCACGAAAGCGUGGGGAGCAAACAGGAUUAGAAACCCUAGUAGU
rnacentral:rRNA from 1 species